UACGGGAGUGGCAAGCGUUAUCCGGAAUUAUUGGGCGUAAAGCGUCCGCAGGCGGUCUUGUAAGUCUGUUGUUAAAGCGUGGAGCUUAACUCCAUUUCAGCAAUGGAAACUGCAAGACUAGAGUGUGGUAGGGGCAGAGGGAAUUCCCGGUGUAGCGGUGAAAUGCGUAGAUAUCGGGAAGAACACCAGUGGCGAAGGCGCUCUGCUGGGCCAUAACUGACGCUCAUGGACGAAAGCCAGGGGAGCGAAAGGGAUUAGAUACCCCUGUAGUCCUGGCCGUAAACGAUGAACACUAGGUGUCGGGGGAAUCGACCCCCUCGGUGUCGUAGCCAACGCGUUAAGUGUUCCGCCUGGGGAGUACGCACGCAAGUGUGAAACUCAAAGGAAUUGACGGGGGCCCGCACAAGCGGUGGAGUAUGUGGUUUAAUUCGAUGCAACGCGAAGAACCUUACCAGGGUUUGACAUCCUGCGAAUCUCUUGGAAACGAGAGAGUGCCUUCGGGAACGCAGUGACAGGUGGUGCAUGGCUGUCGUCAGCUCGUGUCGUGAGAUGUUGGGUUAAGUCCCGCAACGAGCGCAACCCACGUCGUUAGUUGCCAGCAUUUAGUUGGGCACUCUAGCGAGACCGCCGGUGAUAAACCGGAGGAAGGUGUGGAUGACGUCAAGUCAUCAUGCCCCUUACAUCCUGGGCUACACACGUACUACAAUGCUACGGACAAAGGGCAGCAAACUCGCGAGAGCUAGCAAAUCCCAUAAACCGUGGCUCAGUUCAGAUCGUAGGCUGCAACUCGCCUACGUGAAGGAGGAAUCGCUAGUAAUCGCAGGUCAGCAUACUGCGGUGAAUACGUUCCCGGGCCU
rnacentral:rRNA from 1 species